UACGAAGGGGGCUAGCGUUGCUCGGAAUCACUGGGCGUAAAGCGCACGUAGGCGGCUUUGUAAGUUAGAGGUGAAAGCCCGGGGCUCAACUCCGGAAUUGCCUUUAAGACUGCAUCGCUCGAAUUGUGGAGAGGUAAGUGGAAUUCCGAGUGUAGAGGUGAAAUUCGUAGAUAUUCGGAAGAACACCAGUGGCGAAGGCGACUUACUGGACACAUAUUGACGCUGAGGUGCGAAAGCGUGGGGAGCAAACAGG
rnacentral:rRNA from 1 species